rnacentral:rRNA from 1 species
GAGUUUGAUCUUGGCUCAGAUUGAACGCUGGCGGCACGCCUUACACAUGCAAGUCGAACGGCAGCACGGGAGCUUGCUCCUGGUGGCGAGUGGCGAACGGGUGAGUAAUGCAUCGGAACGUAUCCUGGAGUGGGGGAUAACGUAGCGAAAGUUACGCUAAUACCGCAUAUUCUGUGAGCAGGAAAGCGGGGGACCUUCGGGCCUCGCGCUCUUGGAGCGGCCGAUGUCGGAUUAGCUAGUUGGUGAGGUAAUGGCUCACCAAGGCGACGAUCCGUAACUGGUCUGAGAGGAUGAUCAGUCACACUGGAACUGAGACACGGUCCAGACUCCUACGGGAGGCGGCAGUGGGGAAUAUUGGACAAUGGGCGAAAGCCUGAUCCAGCCAUGCCGCGUGUGUGAAGAAGGUCUUCGGAUUGUAAAGCACUUUAAGUUGGGAGGAAGGGCAGUAAGUUAAUACCUUGCUGUUUUGACGUUACCGACAGAAUAAGCACCGGCUAACUCUGUGCCAG